CUAUACCUCUCUUGGGCAUAUACCCAAAAGAUGCCCCAACGUAUAAAAAUGACACGUGCUCCACUAUGUUCAUCGCAGCCUUAUUUAUAAUAGCCAGAAGCUGGAAAGAACCCAGAUGCCCUUCAACAGAGGAAUGGAUACAGAAAAUGUGGUACAUCUACACAAUGGAAUAUUACUCAGCUAUCAAAAACAAUGACUUUAUGAAAUUCGUAGGCAAAUGGUCGGAACUGGAAAAUAUCAUCCUGAGUGAGGUAACCCAAUCACAGAAAAACACACAUGGUAUGCACUCAUUGAU
rnacentral:lncRNA from 1 species